AUCUGAUCGUACUGUUCUGUUACAGAUCAUCAAAAGUUUGGACUCUUUCUCUGUGCUACAGUGAAGAUCCUGGGAAUCAUAAUCCUCUGCAGUGCAGUCGUCACCUUUGAGUGCUGGUUUAGAUCAUCCGACAGAUCAAGGAAGGAUCCAGCAGAACCAGAGCGGAUCAACAGAGUGAUGGAGAUUCAGGCAUCAUGAGCCACAAGGAGGCGAAGAAAACGUUCACUAUUAGUGGGACAAUAUCUUUCUUUUUUCUUGCAUUCGAAUUUGACUGUACAUGUGUUGAUUUUUAUUACAAGAUAAGCAGAUAACAUUUGAACUUGGCAUUAAAAUCUUUUUAAAAUGGAAACAAGGAAAACUUGAGAUACUGCACAAAUUAUUCAUCGUUUGUUUGCCAUGUUUGCUUGUUAUUUUUUUCCCCCUUUUCUGUCAUUUAACCAUCAGCAUUUAUUGAGGAAGCACUUUUUCCUUAGACUAAAUGCUGCACGCAAUUUCCAAUACAUUUAAAAAAUAAAUAGUGACCUGUAUUCUAUUCUUUUUGCUGGGAAUAAAUAAAUUCAUUUUUAGACCAAAAGAGACCGAGCACAUUGCUUAUAUUUUUAAGUGCUGUGUCAAAUUUUACUGCUAUGUUUUAAACCAAGUUAAUUGAAAAUUCUCAUAUUUCUUGUGUUACAUAAUUUUGUUCAGGCACUUUGAUGUAUUCAGGCAGUUCCUCUUUUAAACUUCUUUACUGAAUCGUGAAUAGUCUGACGAUGACAGUGUCAAAAAAAAUGCCGUAAUUUUUCACCACUCUGUGAAUAUUAGAGUCGAUUUUUGUUCC